rnacentral:rRNA from 1 species
UGGGGAAUCUUGCACAAUGGGGGCAACCCUGAUGCAGCGACGCCGCGUGAGCGAUGAAGCCCUUCGGGGCGUAAAGCUCUUUCGACCGGAACGAUAAUGACGGUACCGGGAGAAGAAGCUGCGGCUAACUACGUGCCAGCAGCCGCGGUAAUACGUAGGCAGCAAGCGUUGUUCGGAGUUACUGGGCGUAAAGAGUGCGUAGGCGGUUUUCUAAGUUCGGUGUGAAAUCUCCCGGCUUAACUGGGAGGGUGCGCCGAAGACUGGGAACAUGGAGUGUGGGAAAGGCAGGCGGAAUUCCUGGUGUAGCGGUGAAAUGCGUAGAUAUCAGGAGGAACACCGGCGGUGUAGACGGCUUGCUAGACCAUAACUGACGCUGAGGCACGAAAGCGUGGGUAGCAAACA